rnacentral:rRNA from 1 species
UCAUUGGGUUUAAAGGGUUCCGUAGGUCGGRCUACUAAGUCAGGAGGUGAAAKCCCRCAGCUUAACUGUGGCACUGCCUUUGAUACUGGUAGUCUUGAGUYAUUAUGAAGUGGUUAGAAUAUGUAGUGUAGCGGUGAAAUGCUUAGAUAUUACAUAGAAUACCGAUUGCGAAGGCAGAUCACUAAUWAUGUACUGACACUGAUGGACGAAAGCGUGGGUAGCGAACAGGAUUAGAUACCCUGGUAGUCCACGCCGUAAACGAUGGUUACUAGCUGUUKGGACUUCUGUCUGAGUGGCUAANCGAAAGUGAUAA